rnacentral:rRNA from 1 species
GUCCUACGGGACGCAGCAGUGAGGAAUAUUGGUCAAUGGCCGGAAGGCUGAACCAGCCAAGUCGCGUGAGGGACGACUGCCCUAUGGGUUGUAAACCUCUUUUAUAAGGGAAGAAUAAAUGCUACGUGUAGCAUGAUGCCUGUACCUUAUGAAUAAGCAUCGGCUAACUCCGUGCCAGCAGCCGCGGUAAUACGGAGGAUGCGAGCGUUAUCCGGAUUUAUUGGGUUUAAAGGGUGCGUAGGCGGGCUGUUAAGUCAGCGGUCAAAUGUCGGGGCUCAACCCCGGCCUGCCGUUGAAACUGGCGG